GUAGGGAAUCUUGCGCAAUGGGCGAAAGCCUGACGCAGCCAUGCCGCGUGAAUGAUGAAGGUCUUAGGAUUGUAAAAUUCUUUCACCGGGGACGAUAAUGACGGUACCCGGAGAAGAAGCCCCGGCUAACUUCGUGCCAGCAGCCGCGGUAAUACGAAGGGGGCUAGCGUUGCUCGGAAUUACUGGGCGUAAAGGGCGCGUAGGCGGACAGUUUAGUCAGAGGUGAAAGCCCAGGGCUCAACCUUGGAAUUGCCUUUGAUACUGGCUGUCUUGAGUACGGGAGAGGUGAGUGGAACUCCGAGUGUAGAGGUGAAAUUCGUAGAUAUUCGGAAGAACACCAGUGGCGAAGGCGACUCACUGGCCCGUUACUGACGCUGAGGCGCGAAAGCGUGGGGAGCAAACAGGAUUAGAUACCCUUGUAGUCC
rnacentral:rRNA from 1 species